rnacentral:rRNA from 1 species
GACGAACGCUGGCGGCGUGCUUAACACAUGCAAGUCGAACGGAAAGGCCCUGCUUUUGUGGGGUGCUCGAGUGGCGAACGGGUGAGUAACACGUGAGUAACCUGCCCUUGACUUUGGGAUAACUUCAGGAAACUGGGGCUAAUACCGGAUAGGAGCUCCUGCUGCAUGGUGGGGGUUGGAAAGUUUCGGCGGUUGGGGAUGGACUCGCGGCUUAUCAGCUUGUUGGUGGGGUAGUGGCUUACCAAGGCUUUGACGGGUAGCCGGCCUGAGAGGGUGACCGGCCACAUGGGGACUGAGAUACGGCCCAGACUCCUACGGGAGGCAGCAGUGGGGAAUAUUGCACAAUGGGGGGAAGUGUGAUGCAGCAACGCCGGGUGCGGGAUGACGGCCUACGGGUUGUAAACCGCUGUCGCCUGUGACGAAGAGUGAGUGACGGUAAUGGGUAAAGAAGCACCGGCUAACUACGUG